AUGGCGGGAGCCAAGGCCGCGGCCGUCGCCACCAUCGCAGCCGCCAUCCCCACUCUGGCGAGCGCGAGGAUGCUGCCGUGGGCGAGGGCGCACCUGAACCCGACCGGGCAGGCGCUCAUCAUCUCCACCGUCGCCGGGAUGGCCUACUUCAUCGUCGCCGACAAGACCAUCCUCUCCAUGGCCAGGAAGCACUCGUACGAGACGGCGCCAGAGCACCUCAAGAACACCUCCUUCCACUAA
rnacentral:rRNA from 1 species